UUCUAAAAGAAACCCUAUUUCUCUAUCUUAACCAGCAGCCACACUUCAUCUCUCCCCUGUCUUCUUCGAGAAAAUUUCAAGCUCUCUUUUCACCAUGACCAAAUUUAGUCACACCAUUUUAGUGUAAGAGUUGUCUCUCUUAUCAUCUUCCCUCGGUCGUGACGUAAAGAGACAAAUUAUUUAUGAGGAAAGUUGAUUUCAUUACAAAUGAAAAUCAACAUCAGAAGAUUUCCUUCACUUUUCGAACGAUCAUUUUUUCAAGUUCAAAUGUGGAUAUUGAAAAUCCCGCCCAAAUUUUAAGGCUUGAUUUUGUCAGAUAAACGAACGUAGAUCCUUGAUCGACGAUCCAGUUCAUUGUUCCACAAGAGUCUGUUUGGCUUGAUUUUAUCGGAUGAACGAGCGUAGAUCCUUGAUCGACGAUCCAAUUCAUUAUUCCACAAAAGAUGGUCAACACACGAUACAAUGGUGUCUAGCUCGUAGCUCUCGUCAAUCCAGAGGAGGAGCCAACAGUUAGAGUGUGUGGCCGAGGCAGGGAUAAGAUAAGAGGACACAAGAUAGGCCUGGGAAGGGCAGCACCCGCCAAGGGUGAAACUCAAUCAGAGAAUGUCCCACAGGAAGAGGCCCCUCUCGCACACCAAGCGGAAAUAGAAGAGAAUGUAGAAGUAAAAGUUGAGGAAGAUGCUGAGCAGGAGGUGAAUGCGGAGGCUGAGGCUUUAGGACUCUCCACUUUGGACCUAGCUAUAGCUCAACAGAUCAUGACUUUCCUGAGUGAGAUGGUCAACAAUGGAGCCAUUCCUACAGUGCAUGUUUUUCAAUCUCCAGUUGCUCAUCCCAUUGCUACUGCAAUCCCUAAGAUGGAUAGAGCAUUGGGCAUUGAUUCCUUCUUCCGUCCACCUCUGGAUUAGUGAUGACGAGUAUUGAGCAUGAAAUGACUAAGUUCUUGCAUUUGAAGCAUCCAAUAAUUUAGGGUUAUGUUAGUGAGGAUGCCUACGUGUUCAUCCUGAAUUUCUAUGAGAGACUUCACAAGUUGGGCAUAGUCCACUAGCAUGGAGUUGAGUUUGUGACCUUGUAGCUUCAAGGUGAAUCUAAGUAGUAGCUGAGGGCCUUUCUAGAAUGCCAAUCUCCACUUUUUCCUCCAGUCACUUGUGUUCAAUUCCAUGCCAUAUUUUUGGAGAAGUAUGUUCCCAAAACACUGAAAGAUCGUAAGAAGGAUAAGUUAAUGGCUCUUGAGCAGGCCUGGCAUGACUAUAGCAACUUAUGAGGCUAAGUUUCAUGCCUUAUCCAGAUAUGCUACAUAGAUGGUGACUAUAGAGAAGGAGAGAGUCCAUUUGUUCUUCAAAUGAUUGAAUCUCGAGCUAUAGUUAUUGUAUGUCCAUAUGACCUCUUCAGGUAGAAGCUUUAAUGAAGUGACAAACUUCGUAAAGAAAGUAGAAGGAGUCCGACGGGAUGGACAGACCAAGGCUUUGGCUAAGAAUCUAAAAAAUAUAGGUAAUUUCAAUGGUUGUUACUUCAUAGGUUCAGGUAGGUUGGCAUUAGUAGCCCAACCAAUUUAGUCAGCCAUACCCGCUUCUACGGGUGGUUACUUAGGGACUCCACAAUAGAAUCCUACUCAGGAUGGUUAAGGAGCUUAUUGUACAUCAGGCAGAAGGUUAUCCCUUGGCCGCAGUUGUUAUAAUUUUAGGGAACCAAGGUACAUGAGGAGAAAUUGUCCCCACCCUUGCAUGAAUGAUGCCGCACAGCAGCAGGCUCGAGUUGUAAUACUGGCAGGCAAAAGUAAUAAUGGUAGAGGAUGUCCACAAGCAUACUUUCUCCUCAGAAGACAUGACUGUUGUGGAUCCUCAUUUAGUAGUCAAGCCUAUUCUUACUUUUGAUCCACCUAUAGCACCCAGAAAAGUCAUGUCUUUUGAGGAGCAAAAGAUGCUAGAGAGAUUCAUUAGAAUGGGCCCUCCUAGGUUAACAGAUGUUGCGGUCAAGGAUGCCUACGAGUUCUUGAUCAGUUACCAGGAUAGGUAGCAUAACCUUGUAUUAGUAGAGUCUCACAGGGUCGAUUAUAUUGCCUUCCAUCUAGAUGGGUCGGCGAAGCAGUAGUAGAGGUCUUAUCUCCGAAGUUGGCCAACCGAAUCACCUUUACUAACUUGGGUUCAGUUCUCCAAGGCUUUUUUGGAGAAUUAUGUACCUUACAAAUUAAGGGAUUGGUUGCGAGAUGAGUUCACAAAAUUGACUUAGGUAUUACUUUCAGUUGUUGAGUAUGAGAAGUGGUUUCAUGAGUUGGAUAGACAUGCGGCUAUUCUUAUGCUAACAAAGCAUGAGAUGGUGCACUGGUUUGUAAUACAGAUCUCAUUCCCACUUUGGAUGGCUAUUGAGAAGAUGGUGGCGUCGGAUUAUUCUAUUCUUUAGAUAGUUGAUCAUGCACGCACCAUCAAUGGGAUUCAUCAUGAGGCCUAUGGAGGUAGCGACAAAAGGCCCCAUUGUCAAGGCUAUUUUAGUGGGUAUUAGUCCCAUGGUAGGAUAUUUUUAGGUAGAGGUUACCCAGAAUAGUCUCAGCCCACUAGGCCAGUUCAGGUAACUCUUCAGUCUGUAGAUAGUGGCACUUUUAUGGGUGCUUGUGUCCAGAUGAUUCAAACUCUAAUUCAAUCUUCUCUGGGGGUACAUUCUGGAUCUUUAAUCCAUGGUGGCCAGUCAGGUUCAGCCGGGCUGUCUUAGAGGGGUUAUUUUUAGUGGGUCAUGUUAUGAGUAUGGUGUGAUAGGACACUUUGCUAGGAGUGCGAUACGACAAGUAACCAUAGACGAUAGGUCCAACAAGAUCAGCAGGUUCAGGCCUCAAGGCUCAACUUUAUUCUAUUAGAGGUAGCACUUAGGGUGGCAGAGAUGGUCCCUAGGAUGCUCAAGGUAGCCCUCAAUCGAGAAGGUCAGGCGAUCGAGAUGGACACCACAUACAUGCUUUUCCAGAGAGGCUAGAGACGGAGGCUUCGAAUGUUGUUAUCACAGGUAGAAGCAGAUGCCAUGGAAGAAGGCGAAGCAAUGACAACUUAACUCGUGAGAAGCAAGCUGCCACUUCAAGCAGGUAGAUGCACAAGAUUUUCUUGUCGGAGUCACAACGAUCGCUAUAUGAGGGGUUGCCCACCUUGUUCUUUUGGUGGUUAUUGUCUCAACCGCUAGUUAAUUGGACAAAUACCUAAGUGGAGUGGAGUAAAAGCAAGCUUCUAUGCUAUAUUAUAUCUUUCUAAUAAAGGCAAUAUCUCCUUUUUUACCAAGAGGAGAAUGUUAAUUAAGGCUUUUGGUUUUCUUUGUACUCUCAUCAUAAAUGUAUGUUUUGUUUUGGCUUAUCUUGCUAGUUGCUACUAUAUUCGGUUUAUUUCUUCUUUUACAAAAUGGAAAUGGGUCAAUAUGCCCUUAAACGAUGCUUUAAUUUUAUGAAA